GCAACUUGUGGGAUCUCAGCGAAUGCAAGCAGAAAGCCAGAGAAUCUCUCCGAGAGUAUGCUCGACGCUUCUCCAAGCAAUGCACGGAGCUCCCGCACAUCCCCGACCAUGAUGUCAUCCUAGCAUUUGUGUCAGGCACCACCUGCAAAGGAUUUGGUAUAGGAGUUAGGACGCAAUCGCUCGCAGACCGUUGACGAGCUGAUGGAUGUAGUUUCCAAUUAUGCGGAAUUUAUGAUCCUACCAAGUAAUAUUUAUUAGGAGGAAUCUCAAUAUGAUAAAGGCUAAGAGAUUUUAUGCUAACACUUAACCAGUUUUACAAAGCUUUGUUGUCUAUUUGAGCUCCACAAAAUUCAAGGAUCUAAGAAGACUAGCCGGCGGAGGACAUAGUAUUCGCUGUCAGGGUGCUGCCGACAUUCAAAUACACCUCCGCCACCUGCUAGCUACAUCAGAAGAAAUUACGUCAAAAUCCAGCUUGGGGAAGAGCACCCCCAUUUAUCAAGCUAAGUGUUUCUACUCGCGUUUAUACUUUGCUCAAAUAAUAAAAAGAUGCAUAAUCAUAAAAACCCAAAUAAAAAUUUUGUGCUUAUAUAUAUCUUUGCUUGCUAAAUAAAUAAAUAAAUAAAGUGUCUAGUCCAAACUAAACUUAAAUGAUAAAAUCUUACAUGGAUAUGAUAAAUAGUUGCUCUGCCAUAUACCUAGUUUUUAAGUUUGAGCUCUCUCUCAAGUUUAGGCAUAACUGUUAUAAUUUAAACCUGCUCUAAACCUGAACUUGUGGGAAGAGUACUUGAUCUGAAGUCUAAGUUGUUAACGGAUAUGAUAUGGGAAGGUUGAGCUGCUGUUUAUCUAUUCCUAGAGAUGCUAGAAUUCCGGAGAAUUUUAUCUUUGAAAAUCUUUAAAAAUAACACAUGAUGAGUUCCUGUAUGAUGAGAGUUUAAAUUUCUACCACAGCCAUAUAUACAUGCUUGCUAGACUUUGAGCCACACAUUUACUUUUUACUGCUUAUGAGCAUUGAGUGUGGUCAAGCUGUGUAGACCCUUAGGAGCUUGUCAUGUGGUUAAAAUCAAGAUUCACUUGGACGUUCACUCACACAUGCUACUUCUACUCCGGAAGUAUGCAUCCACAUACAUCCACUCACUUCCAUAUCCAGAGCCACCCAAAAGUAUUCUACUCCUAAUCCGAGAGAGAAUAGCCAAAAACAUUUCUAUUUUUCCCUAUGAAAUAAAUGCUCGAGUUAUCUUGGUUACUACCACUUGCUAUAUUAUUUCAGGAGAUUAGUGCUUUAAAAAAAGAAGAAGAAAAAAAAGAGAGAAAGAAUACGAGGAAAUAAAAAGGGGCAAGUGCCCGGAACCUCGAAGAAAAGAAAAAGUGAGACGAGAGGUAAAAAUGGACAAGUGUCCGACAGUAGAAUUAGGGGUACAAGAUACCACCUGAGGAAAGAAAAAGAAAAUAUAGAGCAUCUCAUUCUCCUCAAAAAGCUUCAAAGUGCAAGAAAGGUAUGUAUCCCCUUAAAAGAGCAAAAGUAGAAUUAGAUUUUCACCAUUGUUAUCACCAUACACCAUUCACUCGCCACACAUGCACAUCUUGAUUUGACUUAUUGACUUGUUCUUCUGGAUCCAUGGUUUGACUAUGCAAUAAAUGUCUUAUAAGUAUGUAUUAUCUGUCUCCCACCUAUGAGCUCCAGAUAUCAAAACCUUAUUAGAGUAGGGUGAGAGAGAAGGCAAUAUCACUAUGCCUCAUACCAAAAACAUCACAUACUUUGAGAGAAGGCAUAUACCAUUACUGCCUUGGAAAGGAUCUAGAAAUACCACAAAAGAGAGAUUUGAGAGAAUCAUAUAAGGAAUAUCUGAGUUUUAUUUGAAAAUCUGCAAAAACUCUAGAGCUAUAGCUGAUCAAGAACAAGAGACAUGGCACUUGACUAGAUUGUUCCAUCUUUUAACUGCUCAAGACACAAGUGACGGUUGCAAGCCCCAUGGUGAAAGGUAAAAUGAGUAAGUUUUAAGUCUUAACAGUUUACUCUAACUCAGAGAUGAGAUCUUGCUUGAACGCAUGCGUACUUUUAAGGCAUGAAACCACUACAGAAACUUUUGAGUCUAUCCUUGCUCAGGGACGAGCAAGAGGUAAGCUUGGAGGAGUUUGUUGACGGUCCUUAAGUACCAAAUAUAAUCGUCAAAUAAAUAAAGAAAAGGAUCCAAAUGCAACCAACGCCCAGACUUAGGGUUUUAUCUGAAAGAAUUCCACGAGUUUUGGUGUUUGUCUAUUUCUGUAGGGGGUUAUCAGGAAAUAUGGAGGAAAGGCCCACACGUAGGGUUUACGUAGAGAUAUUAACGUGCUGUGCAAUUUUCUAUCGUCUAGAAGAGUCCAGAAGCCACGGGAACGAACGGGAGGCCGAAUGGGCCAAGGGGCAGGGCGCCCGCCCUCCCCCCUUGGGCGCCCGCCCUGGUACAAGAACCAAUCACAGAAUGGAUAUCACCAUUACAAAGAUCUCGUCGAGCUGAUCGAAAUGCAUAUAUUAUUUGCUAUAUUUGGAGUACGGAAUCAAGAGAUAUUAAUAAAAGAAAGAACUCUACAUAAAGGAGCUGCGGGAUUAAUUGGGCUCAAAUCAGAUUUUGGUCCAUUAAGGCCUAUGUGCAUUUUAAUGAUAUAUGGUGGAAAGUUUAGUACCACAUCGCCCGCUGAACCAAAAAGGCACAAAAAGAGGAGGCUAUAUAAGCAAGGCCUCUGGCCCUUGGGGGAGAACACAUCAUUAUAGAGUUGAGAGGUGCCAUUGAAGGAUAACCUUUCCUCUAUAUAGAAUUAGGGCUUAGCAUCCAAUGUGAGAUUAGAAUUAGUUCUUCUAAGUACUUCUAGAUUGAGAGAGAUAGAGUGGAGGUGUAGAUCGGAGGAAGCCCGGCCUGUCGGUGUCUACUCCGAGGUUGUACCUACGGGAUCAAGUCUCCUAACCUGAGGCUUUCUCCUAGGAUUCUUCAGUAUUUCGACUUCUAAAUUCUAGUAAGUUUUCUUUGUUUUAUUGUUCUUUGGUUUAUGAGUUUACUUUAAUCUCUUCCAAUUGAGUUUAGAGUAAUCAUUGCUAGCUUAAACGUUGUGUUUGGACUAGGGUACUCAUAGAUAUCCCCUGUCUAGCCGGACCGUGGUAGUAGCAAGGAACGUGACAUUUCCGAGUUACCUUUGUAGCCCACAUCCCGUUAGAAGGAUCGAUAGGGUUUAUAGGUGCGGGUCAAAAAUCCUUUGUGGUGUCUAGAUUCCGUGAGCCUCCCCAAUAGAAGAGUAGAUCAUCCUUACCAAGGUUAGAACGAGAGUGCGGUUGUAGUCUUCUCUAUACAUCGCUCACAUCGAAUCACAUUGUUUGUAGCCUAAAGGGUAGUAGCAAUAAAUUUGGUUAGUCAGAUGCACGCUUUCUCCCAGUGGUAAAAAUAUAAAUACGAUACUCUGGAUAACCUCCCGGGUGAAAUGCUCACCGAUAUCUGUGCGCUUGCGGAUCAUUUCCUGAUGGCGUUACCUAAUAUCAACACUCCACGCCAAACAAAUCUAUGACUGGGCCGACCUGGUCAGGGUAUUCAAGGGAAAUUUCAAAGGAACCUACGUCCGCCCUGGCAACUUGUGGGAUCUCAGCGAAUGCAAGCAGAAAGCCAGAGAAUCUCUCCGAGAGUAUGCUCGACGCUUCUCCAAGCAAUGCACGGAGCUCCCGCACAUCCCCGACCAUGAUGUCAUCCUAGCAUUUGUGUCAGGCACCACCUGCAAAGGAUUUGGUAUAGGAGUUAGGACGCAAUCGCUCGCAGACCGUUGACGAGCUGAUGGAUGUAGUUUCCAAGUAUGCGGAAUUUCUGAUCCUACCAAGUAAUAUUUAUUAGGAGGAAUCUCAAUAUGAUAAAGGCUAAGAGAUUUUAUGCUAACACUUAACCAGUUUUACAAAGCUUUGUUGUCUAUUUAAGCUCCACAGAAUUCAAGGAUCAAAGAAGACUAGCCGGCGGAGGACAUAGUAAUCGCUGUCAGGGUGCUGCCGACAUUCAAAUACACCUCCGCCACCUGCUAGCUACAUCAGAAGAAAUUACGUCAAAAUCCAGCUUGGGGAAGAGCACCCCCAUUUAUCAAGCUAAGUGUUUCUACUCGCGUUUAUACUUUACUCAAAUAAUAAAAAGAUGCAUAAUCAUAAAAACCCAAAUAAAAAUUUUGUGCUUAUAUAUAUCUUUGCUUGCUAAAUAAAUAAAUAAAUAAAGUGUCUAGUCCAAAGUGAACUUAAAUGAUAAACUCUUACAUGGAUAUGAUAAAUAGUUGCUCUGCCAUAUACCUAGUUUUCAAGUUUGAGCUCUCUCUCAAGUUUAGGCAUAACUGUUAUAAUUUAAACCUGCUCUAAACCUGAACUUGUGGGAGGAGUACUUGAUCUGAAGUCUAAGUUGUUAACGGAUAUGAUAUGGGAAGGUUGAGCUGCUGUUUAUCUGUUCCUAGAGAUGCUAGAAUUCUGGAGAAUUUUAUCUUUGAAAAUCUUUAAAAAUAACACAUGAUGAGUUCCUGUAUGAUGAGAGUUUAAAUUCCUACCACAGCCAUAUAUACAUUCUUGCUAGACUUUGAGCCACACAUUUACUUUUUACUGCUUAUGAGCAUUGAGUGUGGUCAAGCUGUGUAGACCCUUAGGAGCUUGUCAUGUGGUUAAAAUCAAGAUUCACUUGCACGUUCACUCACACAUGCUACUUCUACUCCGGAAGUACGCAUCCACAUACAUCCACUCACUUCCAUCUCCAGAGCCACCCAAAAGUAUUCUACUCCUAAUCCGGGAGAGAAUAGCCAAAAACAUUUCUAAUUUUCUCUGUGAAAUAAAUGCUCAAGUUAUCUUGGUAACUACCACUUGCUAUAUUAUUUUAGGAGAUGAGUGCUUUAAAAAAAGAAGAAGAAAAAAAUAGAGAAAGAAUACGAGGAAAUAAAAAGGGGCAAGUGCCCAAAACCUCGAAGAAAAGAAAAAGUGAGACGAGAGGUAAAAAUGGACAAGUGUCCGACAGUAGAAUUAGGGGUACAAGAUACCAUCUGAGGAAAGAAAAAGAAAAAAUAGAGCAUCUCAUUCUCCUCAAAAAGCUUUAAAGUGCAAAAAAGGUAUGUAUCCCCUUAAAAGAGCAAAAGUAGAAUUAGAUUUUCACCAUUGUUAUCACCAUACACCAUUCACUCGCCACACAUGCACAUCUUGAUUUGACUUAUUGACUUGUUCUUAUGGAUCCAUGGUUUGACUAUGCAAUAAAUGUCUUAUAAGUAUGUAUUAUCUGUCUCCCACCUAUGAGCUCCAGAUAUCAAAACCUUAUUAGAGUAGGGUGAGAAGAGAAGGCAAUAUCACUAUGCCUCAUACCAAAAACAUCACAUACUUUGAGAGAAGGCAUAUACCAUUACUGCCUUGGAAAGGAUCCAGAAAUACCACAAAAGAGAGAUUUGAGAGAAUCAUAUAAGGAAUCUCUGAGUUUUAUUUGAAAAUCUGCAAAAACCCUAGAGCUAUAGCUGAUCAAGAACACGAGACAUGGUGCUUAACUAGACUGUUCUAUCUUUUAACUGCUCAAGACACAAGUGACGGUUGCAAGCCCCAUGGUGAAAGGUAAAAUGAGUAAGUUUUAAGUCUUAACAGUUUACUCUAACUCAGAGAUGAGAUCUUGCUUGAACGCAUGCGUACUUUUAAGGCAUGAAACCACUACAGAAACUUUUGAGUCUAUCCUUGCUCAGGGACGAGCAAGAGGUAAGCUUGGGGGAGUUUGUUGACGGUCCUUAAGUACCAAAUAUAAUCAUCAAAUAAAUAAAGAAAAGGAUCCAAAUGCUACCAACACCCAGACUUAGGGUUUUAUCUGAAAGAAUUCCACGAGUUUUGAUGUUUGUCUAUUUCUGUAGGGGGUUAUCAGGAAAUGUGGAGGAAAGGCCCACACAUCGGGUUUACGUAGAGAUAUUAACGUGCCGCGCAAUUUUCUAUCAUCUAGAAGAGUCCAGAAGCCACGGGAACAAACGGGAGGCCGAACGGGCCCAGGUGCAGGGUGCCCGCCCUCCCCCCUUGGGCGCCCGCCCUGGUACAAGCACCAAUCACAGAAUGGAUUGCACCAUUACAAAGAUCUCGUUGAGCUGAUCGAAAUGCAUAUAUUAUUUGCUAUAUUUGGAGUUCGGAAUCAAUAGAUAUUAAUAAAAGAAGGACUCUACAUAAAAGAGUUGCGGGAUUAAUUGGGCUCAAAUCAGAUUUUGGUCCAUUAAGGCCUAUGUCAAUUUUAAUGAGAUAUGGUGGAAAGUUUAGUACCACAUCGCCCGCUGAACCAAAAAGGCACAAAAGGAGGAGGCUAUAUAAGCAAGGCCCCUGGCCCCUGGAGGAGAACACAUCAUUAUAGAGUUGAGAGGUGCCCUCGAAGGAUAACCUUUCCUCUAUAUAGAAUUAGGGCUUAGCAUCCAAUGUGAGAUUAGAAUUAGUUCUUCUAAGUUCUUCUAGAUUGAGAGAGAUAGAGUGGAGGUGUAGAUCGGAGGAAGCCCGGCCUGUCGGUGUCUACUCUGAGGUUGUACCUACGGGAUCAAGUCUCCUAACCCGAGGCUUGCUCCUAGGAUUCUUCAGUAUUUCGACUUCUAAAUUCUAGUAAGUUUUCUUUGUUUUAUUGUUCUUUGGUUUAUGAGUUUACUUUAAUCUCUUCCGGUUGAGUUUAGAGUAAUCAUUGCUAGUGCAAACGUGGUGUUUGGGCUAGGGUACUCAUAGAUAUCCCCUGUCUAGCCGGACCGUGGUAGUAUCGAGGAACGUGACAUUUCCGAGUUACCUUUGUAGCCCACAUCCCGUUAGAAGGAUCGAUAGGGUUUAUAGGUGCGGGUCGAACAUCCUUUGUGGUGUCUAGAUUCCGUGAGCCUCCCCAAUAGAAGAGUAGAUCAUCCUUACCAAGGUUAGAAUGAGAGUGCGGUUGUAGUCUUCUCUAUACAUCGCUCACAUCGAAUCACAUUGUUUGUAGCCUAAAGGGUAGUAGCAAGAGAUUUGGUUAGUCAGAUGCAUGCUUUCUCCCAGUGGUAUAUAUAAAUACGAUACUCUGGAUAAUCUCCCGGUGAAAUGUGUUGGGUAUUCUUAACAUCAUUACUAAAAGUAGACUAAGUUCUCUAAAUCUAGUAACGGUGCCAAAAAUGCCAAACCUAUCCCUCACACCACUUAAGCCAAGUUGUCAUCCCCAGCAUGACAUGAGAGACGCGUUAUUGAAAUAUGCAAUUGCUCUUCUAAAUAAAUAAUGAAUGGGAUCUGCAAGCGCAC
rnacentral:lncRNA from 1 species